CAAUAUUUAUUCAUCAAUGAAAUAAGACCAAACAAAGAAAAUUAGUAAACUAAAACUAAGAUUUAGACAAAUAGAAGAUGUGCUUCAGCAAUCCUCACUCCUACUCCGAUAUUGGCAAUCAUACAAAGUAAAUAAUAUGAUAGAAAUCUAUUACUAUAUACUAAAGUAGAACCCUUUAUAAACCCUAUGUAAGAAACUGACACGUGGCUUUCUAUAUGCUUGCCACGUGUCAAGCUUAAAUAUAAAUAUAGAUUUUCUAAAUUAUAUAUCUAUUCAAUUUACUAUUCUAUGAGAUAUUGCGAAAUUCACGGAUAUUACGUUGCGAAAAAAUUGACGAGUGCGGAUAUUACGUGUGAGAAGAAAAAAUUACAUUUUUAAAUUCAAAUGGUAGGUGAAUUAAUGAGAUAUUGAGAAAAUGAGAUAUUGCAAAAUUCACGGAUAUUGGCAGGUGCGGAUAUUACUAUAUUUACUAUAUACUAAAGUAGAACCCUUUAUGAAUCCUAUGUGAGAAACUGACACGUGGCUUUCUAUAUGCUUGCCACGUGUCAAGCUCAAAUAUAAAUAUAGAUUUUCUAAAUUACAUAUCUAUUCUAUUUACUAUUCUAUGAGAUAUUGCGAAAUUCACGGAUAUUACGUUGUGAAAGAAUUGGCGGAUGCGGAUAUUACGCUUGAGAAGGAAAAACUAUAUUCUUAAAUUCAAAUGGUAGGUGGAUUAAUGAGAUAUUGAGAAAAUGAGAUAUUACAAAAUUCACGGAUAUUGGCAGGUGCAGAUAUUACUAUAUACUAAAGUAGAAUUUUUUAUGAACCCUUUGUGAGAAGCUGACACGUGGCUUUCUAUAUGCUUGCCACAAGUCAAGGUCAAAUACAAUUAUAGAUUUUCUAAAUCUAUCUAUUACUAUAUACUAAAGUAGACCUCUUUAUGAACCCUAUGUGAGAAACUGACACGUGGCUUUCUAUAUGUUUGCCACGUGUCAAGCUCAAAUACAAAUAUAGAUUUUCUAGGAUAUUACAAUAUACUAAAGUAGGACCCUUUAUGAACCCUGUGUGAGAAGCUGACACGUGGCUUUCUAUAUGCUUGCCACGUGUCAAGGUCAAAUACAAAUAUAGAUUUUCUAAAUCUAUCAUUACUAUAUACUAAAAUAGACUCCUUUAUGAACCCUAUGUGAGAAGCUGACACGUGGCUUUCUAUAUACUUGCUAUGUGUCAAGCUCAAAUACAAAUAUAAAUUUUUUAAAUAUGACUAGAUUGACAGUUAUAUCCAAAACAAAUUAUAUUGUAGAUAACUUUAUAAUAAGUAGGCAACACAGUUUUUUUUCUUUAUAUUUUCUUGAAGGCCAACAUCUAUAUAUUUUUGAGUCUUAAAAGUUUGUAUGUCUCUCAUAUGUAUGUGCUUACUCUAAUUUGUGUCAAAUAUAAAAGUUUAGUUGAUCUUAGUAUAUGCUUAAAUAUUAAUGUCAUUUAUAAUUUUUCAUAUCAAUUUUAGUUAUCAUUUUGUUUUGCACAUCAAUAUGUAAUGCAAAUUAUUUUGCACACCAAUUCAUAGAUAAUAGAGCAUGGUUGAAUUUUGCUUUUUACUUGAGUAUUUACUUUGGUCCAUAAUUUUUUUUCUCUUGCUUUUGUACUUUAAUACAAUAUACUAAAGUAGGACCCUUUAUGAACCCUGUGUGAGAAGCUGACACGUGGCUUUCUAUAUGCUUGCCACGUGUCAAGGUCAAAUACAAAUAUAGAUUUUCUAAAUCUAUCUAUUACUAUAUACAUAAAGUAGACCCCUUUGUGAACCCUAUGUGAGAAGUUGACACGUGACUUUCUAUAUGCUUGCCACGUGUCAAGGUCAAAUACAAAUAUAGAUUUUCUAUUACUAUAUACUAAAGUAGAACUCUUUAUGAACCCUGUGUGAGAAGCUGACACGUGGCUUUCUAUAUGCUUGCCACAUGUCAAGGUCAAAUAUAAAUAUAGAUUUUCUAAAUCUAUCAUUACUAUAUACUAAAAUAGACUCCUUUAUGAACCCUAUGUGAGAAGCUGACACGUGGCUUUCUAUAUACUUGCUAUGUGUCAAGCUCAAAUACAAAUAUAAAUUUUUUAAAUAUGACUAGAUUGACAGUUAUAUCCAAAACAAAUUAUAUUGUAGAUAACUUUAUAAUAAGUAGGCAACACAGUUUUUUUUCUUUAUAUUUUCUUGAAGGCCAACAUCUAUAUAUUUUUGAGUCUUAAAAGUUUGUAUGUCUCUCAUAUGUAUAUGCUUACUCUAAUUUGUGUCAAAUAUAAAAGUUUAGUUGAUCUUAGUAUAUGCUUAAAUAUUAAUGUCAUUUAUAAUUUUUCAUAUCAAUUUUAGUUAUCAUUUUGUUUUGCACAUCAAUAUGUAAUGCAAAUUAUUUUGCACACCAAUUCAUAGAUAAUAGAGCAUGGUUGAAUUUUGCUUUUUACUUGAGUAUUUACUUUGGUCCAUAAUUUUUUUUCUCUUGCUUUUGUACUUUAAUAUGUACUAGAAUUAAGAUUUAUUGUAUAUUUCUUUAUUUGUUAAAAAAAUAUAAUAUUAAUUAAAAUAUUUUUUUAUCAUCAUAUAAUAAAUUUUAUUAUUUUAUAUUAUUAUAUUAUUCAUGUAUCGCACGGGUCAAAUACUAGUUU
rnacentral:lncRNA from 1 species